rnacentral:rRNA from 1 species
GACGAACGCUGGCGGCGUGCUUAACACAUGCAAGUCGAACGAAGAGCGAUGGAAGCUUGCUUCUAUCAAUCUUAGUGGCGAACGGGUGAGUAACGCGUAAUCAACCUGCCCUUCAGAGGGGGACAACAGUUGGAAACGACUGCUAAUACCGCAUACGAUCUAACCUCGGCAUCGAGGAUAGAUGAAAGGUGGCCUCUACAUGUAAGCUAUCACUGAAGGAGGGGAUUGCGUCUGAUUAGCUAGUUGGAGGGGUGACGGCCCACCAAGGCGAUGAUCAGUAGCCGGUCUGAGAGGAUGAACGGCCACAUUGGGACUGAGACACGGCCCAGACUCCUACGGGAGGCAGCAGUGGGGAAUCUUCCGCAAUGGACGAAAGUCUGACGGAGCAACGCCGCGGGAGUGAUGACGGCCUUCGGGUUGUAAAGCUCUGUUAAUCGGGACGAAAGGCCUUCUUGCGAAUAGUUAGAAGGAUUGACGGUACCGGAAUAGAAAGCCACGGCUAACUACGUG